AUGAAGAAUGGAGGACAAUCGGCGGGAGCGGCGACGGCAGUUUUCGAUGAUUGCUAUUUUAUGGCUUGCGAUUUUACUAUUAUUAGAUUUGAACAUUGUAAUAGGGAAGCAAAUAAAGUUGCUCAUGAAAUUGCUAGGCUAGCGAAAUAUUCAGCUACUAGGGAUUGGUUUGAGGAGCCCAUGAUUGAUAUUGUAUCUUUUCUUAUUGAUGAUGUAACUGUUAUUUCUAAUCAAUAA
rnacentral:rRNA from 1 species